GCCAGCAACAUACCACCCUGCAUCCCACUGCUGGCUUGCCUCUGAAGCUAAGCAGGGUUGGUCCUGGAUGGGAGACCAGAUGCUGCUGGAA
rnacentral:rRNA from 1 species